GAACCUUCGGGGGACGAUAACGGCGUCGAGCGGCGGACGGGUGAGUAAUGCCUAGGAAAUUGCCCUGAUGUGGGGGAUAACCAUUGGAAACGAUGGCUAAUACCGCAUGAUGCCUACGGGCCAAAGAGGGGGACCUUCGGGCCUCUCGCGUCAGGAUAUGCCUAGGUGGGAUUAGCUAGUUGGUGAGGUAAGGGCUCACCAAGGCGACGAUCCCUAGCUGGUCUGAGAGGAUGAUCAGCCACACUGGAACUGAGACACGGUCCAGACUCCUACGGGAGGCAGCAGUGGGGAAUAUUGCACAAUGGGCGCAAGCCUGAUGCAGCCAUGCCGCGUGUGUGAAGAAGGCCUUCGGGUUGUAAAGCACUUUCAGUCGUGAGGAAGGUGGUAGUGUUAAUAGCACUAUCAUUUGACGUUAGCGACAGAAGAAGCACCGGCUAACUCCGUGCCAGCAGCCGCGGUAAUACGGAGGGUGCGAGCGUUAAUCGGAAUUACUGGGCGUAAAGCGCAUGCAGGUGGUUUGUUAAGUCAGAUGUGAAAGCCCGGGGCUCAACCUCGGAAUUGCAUUUGAAACUGGCAGACUAGAGUACUGUAGAGGGGGGUAGAAUUUCAGGUGUAGCGGUGAAAUGCGUAGAGAUCUGAAGGAAUACCGGUGGCGAAGGCGGCCCCCUGGACAGAUACUGACACUCAGAUGCGAAAGCGUGGGGAGCAAACAGGAUUAGAUACCCUGGUAGUCCACGCCGUAAACGAUGUCUACUUGGAGGUUGUGGCCUUGAGCCGUGGCUUUCGGAGCUAACGCGUUAAGUAGACCGCCUGGGGAGUACGGUCGCAAGAUUAAAACUCAAAUGAAUUGACGGGGGCCCGCACAAGCGGUGGAGCAUGUGGUUUAAUUCGAUGCAACGCGAAGAACCUUACCUACUCUUGACAUCCAGAGAACUUUCCAGAGAUGGAUUGGUGCCUUCGGGAACUCUGAGACAGGUGCUGCAUGGCUGUCGUCAGCUCGUGUUGUGAAAUGUUGGGUUAAGUCCCGCAACGAGCGCAACCCUUAUCCUUGUUUGCCAGC
rnacentral:rRNA from 1 species